GCGCCUUCAUCGUGCUAGAGAAUCUAGCCGUGUUGUUGGUGCUCGGACGCCACCCGCGCUUCCACGCUCCCAUGUUCCUGCUCCUGGGCAGCCUCACGUUGUCGGAUCUGCUGGCAGGCGCCGCCUACGCCGCCAACAUCCUACUGUCGGGGCCGCUCACGCUGAAACUGUCCCCCGCGCUCUGGUUCGCACGGGAGGGAGGCGUCUUCGUGGCACUCACUGCGUCCGUGCUGAGCCUCCUGGCCAUCGCGCUGGAGCGCAGCCUCACCAUGGCGCGCAGGGGGCCCGCGCCCGUCUCCAGUCGGGGGCGCACGCUGGCGAUGGCAGCCGCGGCCUGGGGCGUGUCGCUGCUCCUCGGGCUCCUGCCAGCGCUGGGCUGGAAUUGCCUGGGUCGCCUGGACGCUUGCUCCACUGUCUUGCCGCUCUACGCCAAGGCCUACGUGCUCUUCUGCGUGCUCGCCUUCGUGGGCAUCCUGGCCGCUAUCUGUGCACUCUACGCGCGCAUCUACUGCCAGGUACGCGCCAACGCGCGGCGCCUGCCGGCACGGCCCGGGACUGCGGGGACCACCUCGACCCGGGCGCGUCGCAAGCCGCGCUCGCUGGCCUUGCUGCGCACGCUCAGCGUGGUGCUCCUGGCCUUUGUGGCAUGUUGGGGCCCCCUCUUCCUGCUGCUGUUGCUCGACGUGGCGUGCCCGGCGCGCACCUGUCCUGUACUCCUGCAGGCCGAUCCCUUCCUGGGACUGGCCAUGGCCAACUCACUUCUGAACCCCAUCAUCUACACGCUCACCAACCGCGACCUGCGCCACGCGCUCCUGCGCCUGGUCUGCUGCGGACGCCACUCCUGCGGCAGAGACCCGAGUGGCUCCCAGCAGUCGGCGAGCGCGGCUGAGGCUUCCGGGGGCCUGCGCCGCUGCCUGCCCCCGGGCCUUGAUGGGAGCUUCAGCGGCUCGGAGCGCUCAUCGCCCCAGCGCGACGGGCUGGACACCAGCGGCUCCACAGGCAGCCCCGGUGCACCCACAGCCGCCCGGACUCUGGUAUCAGAACCGGCUGCAGACUGACACCCUCGGCCCACGACUGUCUUCCCAAGUUUUACAGACUUGUUCUUUUUACAUAAAGGAAUUUGUAGGAAAUGCAGCCAAAGGUGCAGUCGGAAAAGAUGCAGGGGAAAUGUAUUUAUGCAGCGACACCCCACAAUGUGAACAAACAGACAAAAAAUCUGUGCCCUCGUGGAAUUGACGUUCUGCUUGGGAACACAGAAAAGAACUCGGUGAUGAAAUAAUGGAGAUGAUUCCAGUGACAAACGACAGAGAUGGUGAUGGUGGUCAGGGAAGACCUCUCUGCAGAGGUAGUGACUUGUGAUGUGAGCUGAGACCUCUGUCCUGGGAAGACCAAAAGAAAAGCAUUUCAGGAUGAGGGAAUGGCAUGCGCAAAGGCCCUGAGGCUGAAAUGUGCCCAUGUGUUCUAAGAAAUGCAGCGAUGCUGGUGUGCCUGGAGCAGGGACGGAGGGGGAGAAUGGGAGGAGACAAGGAGCUGAAGGAGUAGUUCCCGAAGGACCUUGUGGGUGAUAUAGAGGACUUCGCUUUUGCUCUGAGUGAGGUGGGAGCCAUAGAAGCUUCUAAGCAGAAGAGGGACUUGCCCUAAUUCAGGUGAUCACAGGUGUCUUGUGGCCUCCAUGGGAGGUUGAAAACCAGAGAAGGUGAAGGGGGGCUGCACUGAGCCACAGGAACAAUGAUGGAGAUUCCAGCUAAGCCCAGACCCCGUGGAUUCUAGAUAGAUUUUAGAGGCAGCAGACAGAAUUACUGAGGAAUUGAGUGUAAGAGUGGAAUAAAGUUAUCAAGGACAAUGCCAAGGGUGGGGCACCCCCAAAUUUGACUCUGGGAGACUCAGCCAAAUCCUAUCUGGUAAUAAAAUUUCUUUUUUAUUUUUCUUUUCUUUCUUUCUUUCUUUUUUUUUUUUUUGAGUUGGGAUCUUGUGCUCUGUCACCCAGGCUGGAGUGCAAUGGGCACAAUU
rnacentral:lncRNA from 1 species